rnacentral:rRNA from 1 species
GCUGACGGAGCACGCCGCGUGAGUGAUGAAGGGUUUCGGCUCGUAAAACUCUGUUAUUAGGGAAGAACAAACGUGUAAGUAACUGUGCACGUCUUGACGGUACCUAAUCAGAAAGCCACGGCUAACUACGUGCCAGCAGCCGCGGUAAUACGUAGGUGGCAAGCGUUAUCCGGAAUUAUUGGGCGUAAAGCGCGCGUAGGCGGUUUCUUAAGUCUGAUGUGAAAGCCCACGGCUCAACCGUGGAGGGUCAUUGGAAACUGGGAAACUUGAGUGCAGAAGAGGAAAGUGGAAUUCCAUGUGUAGCGGUGAAAUGCGCAGAGAUAUGGAGGAACACCAGUGGCGAAGGCGACUUUCUGGUCUGUAACUGACGCUGAUGUGCGAAAGCGUGGGGAUCAAACAGGAUUAGAUA